rnacentral:rRNA from 1 species
AUUGAACGCUGGCGGCGGGCCUAACACAUGCAAGUCGAACGAGUGGCGGACGGGUGAGUAAUGUCUGGGAAACUGCCUGAUGGAGGGGGAUAACUACUGGAAACGAUAGCUAAUAACGCAUACCAUCAGAUUUGCCCAGAUGGGAUUAGCUUGGUGGUGGGGUAACGGCGCACAAAGGCGACGAUCCCUACCUGGUCUGCGAGGAUGACCAGACACACUGGAACUGAGACACGGUCCAGACGCCUCGGGGAGGCUGCAGUGGGGAAUAUUGGAGAAUGGGCGCAAGCAUGAUGCAGCAUGGCCGCAGGUAUGAAGAAGGACUUCGGGUGGAAAAGUACUUUCAGCGGGGUGGCGUUACCCGCAGAAGAAGCACCGGCUAACUCCGUGCCAGCAGCCGCGGUAAUAC